rnacentral:rRNA from 1 species
GACGAACGCUGGCGGCGUGCUUAACACAUGCAAGUCGAACGGCAAGGCCCUGCUUUUGUGGGGUGCUCGAGUGGCGAACGGGUGAGUAACACGUGAGUAACCUGCCCUUGACUUUGGGAUAACUUCAGGAAACUGGGGCUAAUACCGGAUAGGAGAUCCUGCUGCAUGGUGGGGGUUGGAAAGUUUCGGCGGUUGGGGAUGGACUCGCGGCUUAUCAGCUUGUUGGUGGGGUAGUGGCUUACCAAGGCUUUGACGGGUAGCCGGCCUGAGAGGGUGAACGGCCUCCUGGGGCCUACGAUACGGACCAGACUCCAACGGGGGGCAGCAGUGGGAAAUAUUGCACAAUGGGCGGAAGCCUGAUGCAGCAACGCCGCGUGCGGGAUGACGGCCUUCGGGUUGUAAACCGCUUUCGCCUGUGACGAAGCGUGAGUGACGGUAAUGGGUAAAGAAGCACCGGCUAACUACGUG